rnacentral:rRNA from 1 species
CCUACGGGCGGCAGCAGUGAGGAAUAUUGGUCAAUGGCCGUAAGGCUGAACCAGCCAAGUCGCGUGAGGGAAGAAUGUCCUAUGGAUUGUAAACCUCUUUUGUCAGGGAGUAAAGUGUCGCACGUGUGCUUUUUUGUAAGUACCUUAUGAAUAAGCAUCGGCUAACUCCGUGCCAGCAGCCGCGGUAAUACGGAGGAUCCGAGCGUUAUCCGGAUUUAUUGGGUUUAAAGGGUGCGUAGGCGGCGUUUUAAGUCAGCGGUGAAAUUCUGGGGCUCAACCCUAGUACUGCGGUUGAAACUGGGGAGCUUGAGUGGGCGUGAGGUAUGCGGAAUGCGUGGUGUAGCGGUGAAAUGCUUAGAUAUCACGCAGAACUCCGAUUGCGAAGGCAGCAUACCGGGGCACGACUGACGCUGAAGCACGAAAGCGUGGGUAUCGAACAGGAUUAGAUACCCUGGUAGUC